rnacentral:rRNA from 1 species
CGCGUAGGUGGUUUGUUAAGUUGGAUGUGAAAUCCCCGGGCUCAACCUGGGAACUGCCCUUGAAACUGGGAAGCUAGAAUCUUGGAGAGGCGAGUGGAAUUCCGAGUGUAGAGGUGAAAUUCGUAGAUAUUCGGAAGAACACCAGUGGCGAAGGCGACUCGCUGGACAAGUAUUGACGCUGAGGUGCGAAAGCGUGGGGAGCAAACAGGAUUAGAUACCCCUGUA